AACGAACGCUGGCGGCAGGCUUAACACAUGCAAGUCGAACGGAUGUAGCAAUACAUUAGUGGCGCACGGGUGAGUAAUACAUGGGAACGUGCCUUUCAGUCUAGGAUAACAGCGGGAAACUGCUGCUAAUACUGGAUAUUCUCUACGGAGGAAAGGUUUACCGCUGAAAGAUCGGCCCAUGUCAGAUUAGCUAGUUGGUG
rnacentral:rRNA from 1 species